rnacentral:lncRNA from 1 species
CUUUCCAAAGAAUAUGUUUAUCAAUAAAUUGGACAGUUAAGUUAUAAUUUUAGAGGUACUAUAACCUUGGUGACUAAUGUUUGUGUUUCUUUGUUGCUGUUCUUUGCAGUUCAGCAGUGCAGUGUGCGAUGCAUGAACGGUGGGAGCUGUACAGAUGACCACUGCCAGUGCCAGAAGGGAUAUAUCGGAACUUACUGUGGACAACCUGUCUGUGAAAAUGGCUGCCAAAAUGGUGGGCGUUGUAUUGGACCCAACCGCUGUGCCUGUGUUU